CUGCUGCCUCCCGUAGGAGUUUGGGCCGUGUCUCAGUCCCAAUGUGGCCGUCCACCCUCUCAGGCCGGCUACUGAUCGUCGCCUUGGUGGGCCGUUACCUCACCAACUAGCUAAUCAGACGCGGGUCCAUCUUACACCACCUCAGUUUUUCACACUCGACCAUGCGGUCCUGUGCGCUCAUGCGGUAUUAGCACCUAUUUCUAAGUGUUAUCCCCCUGUGUAAGGCAGGUUACCCACGCGUUACUCACCCGUCCG
rnacentral:rRNA from 1 species